GAUGAACGCUGGCGGCGUGCCUAAUACAUGCAAGUCGAGCGAACGGACGAGAAGCUUGCUUCUCUGAUGUUAGCGGCGGACGGGUGAGUAACACGUGGAUAACCUACCUAUAAGACUGGGAUAACUUCGGGAAACCGGAGCUAAUACCGGAUAAUAUUUUGAACCGCAUGGUUCAAAAGUGAAAGACGGUCUUGCUGUCACUUAUAGAUGGAUCCGCGCUGCAUUAGCUAGUUGGUAAGGUAACGGCUUACCAAGGCAACGAUGCAUAGCCGACCUGAGAGGGUGAUCGGCCACACUGGAACUGAGACACGGUCCAGACUCCUACGGGAGGCAGCAGUAGGGAAUCUUCCGCAAUGGGCGAAAGCCUGACGGAGCAACGCCGCGUGAGUGAUGAAGGUCUUCGGAUCGUAAAACUCUGUUAUUAGGGAAGAACAUAUGUGUAAGUAACUGUGCACAUCUUGACGGUACCUAAUCAGAAAGCCACGGCUAACUACGUGCCAGCAGCCGCGGUAAUACGUAGGUGGCAAGCGUUAUCCGGAAUUAUUGGGCGUAAAGCGCGCGUAGGCGGUUUUUUAAGUCUGAUGUGAAAGCCCACGGCUCAACCGUGGAGGGUCAUUGGAAACUGGAAAACUUGAGUGCAGAAGAGGAAAGUGGAAUUCCAUGUGUAGCGGUGAAAUGCGCAGAGAUAUGGAGGAACACCAGUGGCGAAGGCGACUUUCUGGUCUGUAACUGACGCUGAUGUGCGAAAGCGUGGGGAUCAAACAGGAUUAGAUACCCUGGUAGUCCACGCCGUGAACGAUGAGUGCUAAGUGUUAGGGGGUUUCCGCCCCUUAGUGCUGCAGCUAACGCAUUAAGCACUCCGCCUGGGGAGUAUGACCGCAAGGUUGAAACUCAAAGGAAUUGACGGGGACCCGCACAAGCGGUGGAGCAUGUGGUUUAAUUCGAAGCAACGCGAAGAACCUUACCAAAUCUUGACAUCCUUUGACAACUCUAGAGAUAGAGCUUUCCCCUUCGGGGGACAAAGUGACAGGUGGUGCAUGGUUGUCGUCAGCUCGUGUCGUGAGAUGUUGGGUUAAGUCCCGCAACGAGCGCAACCCUUAAGCUUAGUUGCCAUCAUUAAGUUGGGCACUCUAAGUUGACUGCCGGUGACAAACCGGAGGAAGGUGGGGAUGACGUCAAAUCAUCAUGCCCCUUAUGAUUUGGGCUACACACGUGCUACAAUGGACAAUACAAAGGGCAGCGAAACCGCGAGGUCAAGCAAAUCCCAUAAAGUUGUUCUCAGUUCGGAUUGUAGUCUGCAACUCGACUACAUGAAGCUGGAAUCGCUAGUAAUCGUAGAUCAGCAUGCUACGGUGAAUACGUUCCCGGGUCU
rnacentral:rRNA from 1 species